rnacentral:rRNA from 1 species
UUCGCAAUGCCCGAAAGGGUGACGAUGCGACGCCGCGUGAGCGAAGAAGGCCCUAGGGUUGUAAAGCUCUGUCGAGGGUUAUGAAAUAUAGAUGGGUUAAUACCCCAUUUAUUUGACAAAAGCCCAAAAGGAAGCCACGGCUAACUCUGUGCCAGCAGCCGCGGUAAUACAGAGGUGGCGAGCGUUGUUUGGUAUUAUUGGGCGUAAAGAGCACGUAGGUGGUUUUGUAAGUCAGGUGUGAAAGCCUUCUGUUCAAAGGAAGAACGGCAUCUGAAACUGCAGAUCUUGAGUGUAGGAGGGGAGAGUGGAACUUCUGGUGGAGCGGUGAAAUGCGUAGAUAUCAGAAGGAACGUCGGCGGCGAAAGCGACUCUCUGGCCUAUUACUGACACUGAGGUGCGAAAGUUAGGGGAGCAAACGGGAUUAGAUACCCCGGUAGUCCUAACCGUAAACGAUGGGCACUAAGUAGAGGGGUUUU